rnacentral:tRNA from 1 species
GCCUCCGUAGCUCAAUUUGGCAGAGCAGCUGACUCUUAAUCAGUUGGUUGUAGGUUCGAGUCCUACCGGAGGCA